AACUCCUUCCGGUAGAGCGCAACAAUGGCAUUGUUGAGGCAACCGGUUCGAACCCGGUACGCUCCA
rnacentral:tRNA from 1 species